AUGAGCUCCCCUUGUGAGCUGUGAGUGAGUUCGGUGGUAGGAAACCUCUGGUUCUCCUGGUGGGAAGAAGCCGCCCUCCCUCCAUGAUGCCACUUCCUUGGAGUUUGAUGGACAAAGCAUCAGUAUUGUGGCCCCUGUAUCUUAUCACAAGGCCUCUGAUUCUCUAUGAUCACCUCAGCAGUGGAAGGAAGCACAGAGAGGGCUCACCAGCAAAUAAACACUUCAAUGCGGACUUGUUAUAUGACACCACCUAACCUACAAAGAAGCUCUGAAUUCAGAAAGUGUAACAUCUGGACCAAGGUGCAUUAGCUUGGGGAGGCAGAGGUGAUUAAUGACUGUGUUUGUGUUGGACACACAGUAUUGUACCACAUUUUCAAUCAUAUUGUGUAUUGCAUAACUCUAGGAUUGAUUACACCUGCUCCACGUGCAAUGGUCUCUAGGAGACAACCAAAACCGCUGCAGGCUGGUGUGGGGGUAGCUGGGCUGCCAGAAAGUCAGACUUCUUUAGCAGUUGUUCAGGUCUGAAAUCCAAAGUGUUUGGAAGGUCU